CUGCCCCUGUCAGGGGGACAACCCGCCGAAAGGCGGGCUAAACCCGCGUACAUGCCACCGGGGCAUCCCGGAGGCAGGAAAGGCUUCGGCCGGACAGGGAUGGGCAUGCGGCGCAUUAGGCAGUAGGCGGGGUAACGGCCCACCUAACCGACGAUGCGUAGGGGUUCUGAGAGGAAGGUCCCCCACACUGGUACUGAGACACGGACCAGACUCCUACGGGAGGCAGCAGUGAGGAAUAUUGGUCAAUGGUCGGGAGACUGAACCAGCCAAGCCGCGUGAGGGAUGAAGGUACAGAGUAUCGUAAACCUCUUUUGUCAGGGAACAAAGGCGGGGACGUGUCCCCGGAUGAGUGUACCUGAAGAAAAAGCAUCGGCUAACUCCGUGCCAGCAGCCGCGGUAAUACGGAGGAUGCGAGCGUUAUCCGGAUUUAUUGGGUUUAAAGGGUGCGCAGGCGGUCUGUUAAGUCAGCGGUCAAAGCCCGGGGCUCAACCCCGGCCCGCCGUUGAAACUGGCAGUCUCGAGUUGGAGAGAAGUAUGCGGAAUGCGCGGUGUAGCGGUGAAAUGCAUAGAUAUCGCGCAGAACUCCGAUUGCGAAGGCAGCAUGCCGGCUCCACACUGACGCUGAGGCACGAAAGCGUGGGUAUCGAACAGGAUUAGAUACCCUGGUAGUCCACGCAGUAAACGAUGA
rnacentral:rRNA from 1 species